rnacentral:rRNA from 1 species
GGAGCGAACAGGAUUAGAUACCCUGGUAGUCCACGCCGUAAACGGUGGGCACUAGUUGUGGGGACCUUCCACGGUCUCUGCGACGCAGCUAACGCAUUAAGUGCCCCGCCUGGGGAGUACGAUCGCAAGAUUAAAACUCAAAGGAAUUGACGGGGCCCCGCACAAGCAGCGGAGCAUGCGGCUUAAUUCGACGCAACGCGAAGAACCUUACCAAGGCUUGACAUAUACAGGAAUAUGGCAGAGAUGUCAUAGCCGCAAGGUCUGUAUACAGGUGGUGCAUGGUUGUCGUCAGCUCGUGUCGUGAGAUGUUGGGUUAAGUCCCGCAACGAGCGCAACCCUCGUUCUGUGUUGCCAGCAUUUAGUUGGGGACUCACAGGAGACUGCCGGGGUUAACUCGGAGGAAGGUGGGGAUGACGUCAAAUCAUCAUGCCCCUUAUGUCUUGGGCUGCACGCAUGCUACAAUGGCUGGUACAAACGGCUGCAAUACCGCAAGGUGGAGCGAAUCCGAGAAAGCCAGUCUCAGUUCGGAUUGGGGUCUGCAACUCGACCCCAUGAAGUCGGAGUUGCUAGUAAUCGUAGAUCAGCAACGCUACGGUGAAUACGUUCCCGGGGCUGUACACACCGCCCGUCACGUCACGAAAGUCGGUAACACCCGAAGUCAGUGGCCCAACCGCAAGGAGG